UAGAGGAAGUAAAAGUCGUAACAAGGUUUCCGUAGGUGAACCUGCGGAAGGAUCAUUACAGAAUUUUGAGAGGGGUUGUAGCUGGCCGGAAGGCAUGUGCACGCCUCGAUCAUCAUCCAUCUCACACCUGUGCACAUACUGUAGGUCGGUUUGUGGGGUGAAGUCUUCAUUGAUUUCGCUCUGUGGGCCUUCCUAUGUUUUAUUACAAACUACUAGUUUCAAGAAUGUCUAUUGCGUGUAACGCAUUUAUAUACAACUUUCAGCAACGGAUCUCUUGGCUCUCGCAUCGAUGAAGAACGCAGCGAAAUGCGAUAAGUAAUGUGAAUUGCAGAAUUCAGUGAAUCAUCGAAUCUUUGAACGCACCUUGCGCUCCUUGGUAUUCCGAGGAGCAUGCCUGUUUGAGUGUCAUGGAAUUCUCAACUUCAUUUGCUUUYGUGAAUGAAGCUUGGACUUGGAGGUUGUUGCUGGCCAUAUSGAUCGGCUCCUCUUGAAUAUAUUAGCUCGAACCUUUGUGGAUCAGCUUCGGUGUGAUAAUUGUCUACGCCGUUCUGUAAAGCAUAGCUAUAGGUUUCGGCUUCUAAUAGUCCUUCGCUGGACAAUAUCUUUGACCUUUGACCUCAAAUCAGGUAGGAUUACCCGCUGAACUUAAGCAUAUCA
rnacentral:rRNA from 1 species